rnacentral:rRNA from 1 species
UGGUGGGUAGUUUGACUGGGGCGGUCUCCUCCUAAAGAGUAACGGAGGAGCACGAAGGUUGGCUAAUCCUGGUCGGACAUCAGGAGGUUAGUGCAAUGGCAUAAGCCAGCUUGACUGCGAGCGUGACGGCGCGAGCAGGUGCGAAAGCAGGUCAUAGUGAUCCGGUGGUUCUGAAUGGAAGGGCCAUCGCUCAACGGAUAAAAGGUACUCCGGGGAUAACAGGCUGAUACCGCCCAAGAGUUCAUAUCGACGGCGGUGUUUGGCACCUCGAUGUCGGCUCAUCACAUCCUGGGGCUGAAGUAGGUCCCAAGGGUAUGGCUGUUCGCCAUUUAAAGUGGUACGCGAGCUGGGUUUAGAACGUCGUGAGACAGUUCGGUCCCUAUCUGCCGUGGGCGCUGGAGAAUUGAGGGGGGCUGCUCCUAGUACGAGAGGACCGGAGUGGACGCAUCACUGGUGUUCGGGUUGUCAUGCCAAUGGCACUGCCCGGUAGCUAAAUGCGGAAGAGAUAAGUGCUGAAAGCAUCUAAGCACGAAACUUGCCCCGAGAUGAGUUCUCCCUGACUCCUUGAGAGUCCUGAAGGAACGUUGAAGACGACGACGUU